rnacentral:misc_RNA from 1 species
UCCGAGUUGACCCCGGCAGUCUCCGAUGAGUCCCCGGCUUUACCCGCUGGCAACAUCGAACAAGGGUUGCGCUCGUUGCGGGACUUAACCCAACAUCUCACGACACGAGCUGACGACAACCAUGCACCACCUGUACACCGCCCCAAAAGGACCCCCCAUCUCUGGAGGUUUUCGGUGUAUGUCAAGCCUUGGUAAGGUUCUUCGCGUUGCAUCGAAUUAAGCCGCAUGCUCCGCCGCUUGUGCGGGCCCCCGUCAAUUCCUUUGAGUUUUAGCCUUGCGGCCGUACUCCCCAGGCGGGGCGCUUAAUGCGUUAGCUACGGCACGGAGAUCGUGGAAAGAUCCCCACACCUAGCGCCCAACGUUUACAGCGUGGACUAC